AUUGAGCGCUGGCGGCAUGCUUUACACAUGCAAGUCGAACGGUAACAGGCCGCAAGGUGCUGACGAGUGGCGAACGGGUGAGUAAUGCAUCGGAACGUGCCCAGUCGUGGGGGAUAACUACUCGAAAGAGUAGCUAAUACCGCAUACGAUCUAUGGAUGAAAGCGGGGGACCGUAAGGCCUCGCGCGAUUGGAGCGGCCGAUGUCAGAUUAGGUAGUUGGUGGGGUAAAGGCUCACCAAGCCAACGAUCUGUAGCUGGUCUGAGAGGACGACCAGCCACACUGGGACUGAGACACGGCCCAGACUCCUACGGGAGGCAGCAGUGGGGAAUUUUGGACAAUGGGCGCAAGCCUGAUCCAGCAAUGCCGCGUGCAGGAAGAAGGCCUUCGGGUUGUAAACUGCCUUUGUACGGAACGAAACGGCUCUGGUUAAUACCCGGGGCUAAUGACGGUACCGUAAGAAUAAGCACCGGCUAACUACGUG
rnacentral:rRNA from 1 species